rnacentral:rRNA from 1 species
UACAGAGGGUGCGAGCGUUGUCCGGAAUCACUGGGCGUAAAGGGCGCGUAGGCGGCGCGGUAAGCGUGCGGUGAAAGCCCGGGGCUCAACCCCGGGUCGGCCGUGCGGACUGCCGGGCUGGAGCACUGUAGAGGCAGGUGGAAUUCCGGGUGUAGCGGUGGAAUGCGUAGAGAUCCGGAAGAACACCGGUGGCGAAGGCGGCCUGCUGG